GGCGGCAGGCCUAACACAUGCAAGUCGAACGCGACCUUCGGGUCGAGUGGCGCACGGGUGAGUAACGCGUGGGAAUCUGCCCUGUGGUACGGAAUAACAUCGGGAAACUGGUGCUAAUACCGUAUAUCCCCUGAGGGGGAAAGAUUUAUCGCCAUGGGAGGAGCCCGCGUAGGAUUAGCUAGCUGGUGAGGCAACGGCUCACCAAGGCGACGAUCCUUAGCUGGUCUGAGAGGAUGAUCAGCCACACUGGGACUGAGAUACGGCCCAGACUCCUACGGGAGGCAGCAGUGGGGAAUAUUGGACAAUGGGGGAAACCCUGAUCCAGCCAUGCCGCGUGUGUGAUGAAGGCCUUCGGGUUGUAAAGCACUUUCGCACGUGACGAUGAUGACGGUAACGUGAGAAGAAGCCCCGGCUAACUUCGUGCCAGCAGCCGCGGUAAUACGAAGGGGGCAAGCGUUGUUCGGAAUUACUGGGCGUAAAGGGCGCGUA
rnacentral:rRNA from 1 species